ACUUGCUUAGUAGCUGAAAUUGCGGACAUUGCAGGGUUGGGCUUGAUGACAUUUGUUGCUCAGCUGCCGCGACCCAUUUGGAGCAAAGCUUCUGCUUAUUUCUUUCGGCCGCACCUUAUAUUUGUUGUCUUUGUCAACAUCUGACCUGUUUCUGCCUUGUUGAAAGCAAGUGGCCACAAGUACUGCUUAGUUUGCUCAAUCUAAACCUGGUAUGUAUAUCUAUUUGCUAAGGGCAUGCUUCUGCUCCUUUAAAGGUUGCUUUAACUAAUAGUGGUUUGAGUCAUCGUGUAUGACACCAGAUAAUUAUUGUUCUAAAAUGGUGGCAAAGCUUGUCCACAGAUUUAAAGUAUGGAGAUGCUAAACAUUAAAAUGUUCCAAGUUGCCACAAAGUAUUACACGCAUUUAAAUUUGCAGUCGCAAAAGACGUACUAAAAGUAUAAUCCACAAAAUUUGCUUCGAGGUGUCUUGAGACAAUAAAUUGUAGAGAAAGAAUUCUAUUGUGAGUUGCCAAUGCUUGUCGUGAGCUCUAGCCCAUUUUUCUAUGCAGCCACUGUUGCUUCGUUGUCUGUGCUUGUUACUAACAAGAAAUUGAGCUCCGUGGUUCCCCUGAUUUUUGUCGCUCAUAAAAUGCAAAUGUCUCGACAUUGGCAGCCUUAGUGCCUCAAAGUAGAACACGAGUGUUCAUUGGCCAGUUGCCUGCCUUUAAGAUAAUGUUGUAUUUAAUGUCAGGGGUAUAAAGGAUACUUCACAUCUGCCAUCAUGGCUGUUAGUUCUGCUGCCUAGCACUUCCAGGACAAAGUUUGGUACACAUGUGCAACUAUCCAAGAAAAUGGACAUUGGGACAACUGCUGACGUAGCUCACUUGGUAGAGCAUCGCAAGCGCAAAGCAGAAAAUGUUGGUUAAACUCCAACAGGCAGCAAGUUGUCUCUUAAUGCAAAGCAUUAUCGUGAUCUAUUUUCGAAUUUCUUAGUACACCUGCCCAGGUAGCUUCAUUAAUAAUCAGUAAUGCUCCUGAUGGUGGGUAUUGAACGCGAGUCCCUAGUGCAGCAGCCCAAUUCUUUGCCCAUUAGGCUACAGAUGCAUGCAUAGCUCGCCAGAUUAACCGCACUGGUUCUCUCGUAGCAGCUAAUGCUUUCAGAUGUUAUGUGACACUCGCAGAGUUUGGGAUUCACCCGUUUCAGCUCAUAUGCAACAUAUAAAGCAGGUGUUCUGUUUGCUUUGGUGACGCGUUGUGCGUGCAAUUGUUUUUGGUUUCUCUAUUUUGGUGUAUUGUGCUUUGUAUUCGAUAUGGUGCUGGGCAUUACCUCAAUCACAGCUUCGAUGCUGUGCCCAAAGAAAAAAACAUUUGUAAGCAGGUGCUCGAGUGACGUGAAGCUCACUCUCCCUCAUUCUCUCUUGCAGGUAGUGUAUCCAGUUUAGCGCCGUGCACAUGUGUGGGGCAUUUCCUUGUUCUUAUUCUGCUGAUGUGUCGUGUUGUACAUAGGAGGAAAGCCGGUCCUCCACAAUAUGGUUGUCAGUGUUGCUGAAUACAACACAGUCUUGCUGCCUUGACACGCCACAUCAUUUGACAUGUGGGGGCCACUUCACAACUGCAAGCUGAAUCUGAUGUAGGCAGUGUCAGGGUCAUGGCCCAUAUUUUGGUGAACGCCAAGAAUGCGUCCUGUGACUGAAGUUUGAGUAUUUGAGCCCACCUUUUGGAAGUGCUUUUUAUGUGCACUCAGUAAGUGACAGUUAUCCAUGCUUCUUGACAUGAUUUUAAGUGAUCCUAGAGGCAACACUUAUUGAUCUGCAUUAUGCAAAUGUUUUUAUAUUUUCGCUAAUAUACUGUGGUUACUAUUACUACACACUGUUUAAAAGGUGUUGAAUAUAAAAAGCUAUUUAUUUGCCCUAAUAUAAUGUAGAAAUAAGCAUUCUGCAGUCUGAAAAGUGAAGAAAAGAAACACAAAAAAAAGAAAAAAUCACCGCCCAAGCACUCCAUACAGAUGGUUAACCAGCAAAGCUGAAACGUGCGGCCGCAGUGUUUAUGACUGGGUUAAUUACGUCUUUGUGUUCUUAAUGAGGUUACACACACGUUCGGCUGCGACGGAGAGAACGACGUCACUGAAAGUGUGUCCGCCGUUGUCGCCUGCGUUCGAUGUCUCACGUUUGCUUGGCGGUGUGGUUAGCAGCAUUUGUCCGCCAUUGCCGCUGCUUGUGAUUUUUUGAAAUUAAAUCUGUCCGUCAUGUAAGACGACGAAUGGCUCAUACCUCCUUAAGCAAUGGCUCAUGCGGCCUCCCCAUUACGACGUCACAAGAGAAGUGAAAUUCUACGCUGGAAUUAUGAGCCGCGAUGGAGCCAGCUGUGGAAGAAGACAACGAACGCGGGAGCAGUGGCACGAGCGAAACCCGAGGGGUGCCAACAAGCCAGCUUCGGAAGAGACGACGAUGCUCGAGCCAAUGCUGAUGAUGAUAGUUAUCUGUACACAGGCGACAGACAGACGCUUUUUCGUUUCGCCUAGCCAUAUGGUCGCAAGAUUCACAACCACUUUAGUUGAUUAUAAAAACAUUGAAGUGCACGCAAACAGCCUCUACAUUGCAUCUGUGAAAAACAUUGCUCCAUCUUGCUGUAGCAUUAUGCACCUUAGCUUUGUGUGGAAGCCGCGGUUGUUGCACUGUGCUGCACCGCAAUGAACCUUGGUUAUGUGAAAAAGCCACUGUUAUUGCAUUGCUCUUUACUGUUAUGCACAUCAACCUUGUGGCAAAGCCACCACACUUGCACCGUGCUCCACCGCAAAGCAUUUUAGGUGUGUGGAAAAGUACUUACUAAAUAUUGCAUGUGCUGGAUUUGAGCAUUUUUAACGCAAAGAAUUUUCAUACCAAGCACUUUGCAGUAGGCAAUUUUAUGUCCCGGCUCCUGUUAGUCUUUCCGAUUGAAAACAAAAAUAUGUCUGGCAGCGAGUCCAAACCUGUCUCCCAACAUAACAGCCCAACGCUUUAGCCAUUAGGCCGCUGUUGUGCACAUACUUUGCGCUCGCCAAUGUGUAGCUAGGUAUAUGAGGUAGUGGCUUAUGCAUUAUGGUGCACGAUAUGUGUCGGAGCAUGUGUGCAUGUACAAGUUGCUCGUCAAAGUGAGAGCAUGUCAGUUUCUCCCAUUCUUCCUUUGUGGCAGCACUUCGAGGUGCUUUGUUAGACUGCUCCAGCUUUGCGAUUCACCCACAUUUCCCAGUCCCUUCAUUGUAGCAGCUUCCACAACAUGGACACUGUGCGACAUUGUACUACCUUUGCAUUGAGGGUGAAGGUGGUAUGUGCUCGUUGAGUGAAAAAUGUUGACAAGAGGUGUAUGCACAGAAAAGUAUGACAUUUAUCUUAAUACUACAUGUAAUGAUUCUGUACUCCUUGUGCCACAGUGACCCAUGCCCAAAUCAGCAGACGGGCCCAGAAUGGGCACAUAACCAUUUGUGCAUACCGCAUAAGCCAUGCUGUCCACUUGGCAAAACAGUAGCCACCACAGUGUAGGCAGGAAGA